UUAGCCUCCUACCGACUCAUCCUCCGGUCAGACAACAUGGAUGUGAUGAUGAAGAGGGGCGGGGGGCUGCGCAGGCAGCAUCGAUAAUCGAUCAGACUGAUUGAUAAACAGAAACCUCAUAGGCUAACCGGAACCGAUCAGAAGUAUUGACUGAGCAGCUUCCCGAGCUUUCAGCUGCGUCUCUGGUUCCCCUUCAAUGGAUGAACUGAUCAGGUAGACGGAGGCAGAUCACAGGUGAGUUAAACACCUGACCAGGCGAUCCUUUACUCUGCUUUGACAGAAACUCAAUGAUACUCCAGAAAUUCAACAGUUUCCAGUUUGUGUUGAAUGUUUUUUAGAGUCCUGCAGUAGCAGCCUGCAGCCACCAGAUGGCGACACCUGUGUUCACCUGCGGCCACCUGCAUUUUCAUCAUAGCAGGUUUUUACAUCUGUUGUAUAAACCAAAUUAAGUUUAAAUUGGUGUGAAGACGAUUAAGUCAUUCCUUCCUGUUGACUUCUAUUGGCUCGUGUUCAGUGGUUUAAAAGUUAAACUGACCUUAGUUUGUCUUGAACAAAAAGCUGAUUAAAGUUAACUUUUAAAACCUC